CCUCUCCUCUCCUCUCCUCUCCUCUCCUCUGCUCUCCUCUCCUCUCCUCUCCUCUCCUCUCCUCUCCUCUCCUCUCCUCUCCUCUCCUCUCCUCUCCUCUCCCCCUCCUCCUUGUGUUUCUGAGUCUAUUAGUUGGGAUCCUUGUCCACCCUAAAACAGACUACGUCACCCUAGAACAGACUGUCACUCUAUAUCAGACUAUGUCACUGUAUAACAGACUAUGUCAAUGAGAAUUAUAGUAGAAUGGGUGAGACUUUGAAAAUAAACGUUUGCUUAAUUCUUUCCCCACUUUUAUUUUCUAUGUGGUCUUGUGUCGUCUUGGACAUCACUGACCAUAUUGUUAUCCUUACGUUGCCACUUGAUUACAAGGAGGGGGUCAAUCCUGUUGUAUGUUGUGUAAUUCAAUGUGACACAUGUCCUGCUCUUACAAAGCCAUGGUGAAAUCCAUCAGUCGUUUGUGUACUUACUCAUAAUAAUAUAAUAUAAUAUAAUAUAAUAAUAAUAAUAAUAAUAACUAUUAUUACUUACUCAUAAACUGCAACUUUGCUGGGAGGCUGGAGGGGCCCCCCAGCCCCCCCAUAUUCAGCAGCUUCAGAUCCCCACAUUCAGAGGGCUCAGCAGACCCAAACAACCUCACUCAACUCUCAGCUAAACCACAAAUAAUAUGGGGUGGAUGGAUAAAAGCACUCAUCGAUAGUCCACUGUGUUAGCAGACCGCAGGUUAAUGUCACUGUUUCAGUGUCCACUGUGUUAGCAGACCGCAGGUUAAUGUCACUGUUUCAGUGUCCACUGUGUUAGCAGACCGCAGGUUAAUGUCACUGUUUCAGUGUCCACUGUGUUAGCAGACCGCAGGUUAAUGUCACUGUUUCAGUGUCCACUGUGUUAGCAGACCGCAGGUUAAUGUCACUGUUUCAGUGUCCACUGUGUUAGCAGACCGCAGGUUAAUGUCACUGUUUCAGUGUCCACUGUGUUAGCAGACCGCAGGUUAAUGUCACUGUUUCAGUGUCCACUGUGUUAGCAGACCGCAGGUUAAUGUCACUGUUUCAGUGUCCACUGUGUUAGCAGACCGCAGGUUAAUGUCACUGUUUCAGUGUCCACUGUGUUAGCAGACCGCAGGUUAAUGUCACUGUUUCAGUGUCCACUGUGUUAGCAGACCGCAGGUUAAUGUCACUGUUUCAGUGUCCACUGUGUUAGCAGACCGCAGGUUAAUGUCACUGUUUCAGUGUCCACUGUGUUAGCAGACCGCAGGUUAAUGUCACUGUUUCAGUGUCCACUGUGUUAGCAGACCGCAGGUUAAUGUCACUGUUUCAGUGUCCACUGUGUUAGCAGACCGCAGGUUAAUGUCACUGUUUCAGUGUCCACUGUGUUAGCAGACCGCAGGUUAAUGUCACUGUUUCAGUGUCCACUGUGUUAGCAGACCGCAGGUUAAUGUCACUGUUUCAGUGUCCACUGUGUUAGCAGACAGCAGGUUAAUGUCACUGUUUCAGUGUCCACUGUGUUAGCAGACCGCAGGUUAAUGUCACUGUUUCAGUGUCCACUGUGUUAGCAGACCGCAGGUUAAUGUCACUGUUUCAGUGUCCACUGUGUUAGCAGACCGCAGGUUAAUGUCACUGUUUCAGUGUCCACUGUGUUAGCAGACCGCAGGUUAAUGUCACUGUUUCAGUGUCCACUGUGUUAGCAGACCGCAGGUUAAUGUCACUGUUUCAGUGUCCACUGUGUUAGCAGACUGCAGGUUAAUGUCACUGUUUCAGAUAGGUUAAACCAUACCAAUAUGAGAUAUAUGUUUAUAUAUCAGCUUUUAUAUGUAUAAUAAUGUUAGGAUUCUAUUUCUAUUGGUCGAGCACUUUUCAGGUUGUCUUUCCCACCAAUCAGAAACACAGUCAGAGCUGAUUCAUCUGGUUCAAAACGUUCAUGCACUUGUAGCUGUAAAAAGAUGUUAAUCUAAGUUUUUUUUUUACAAUUGUUUUAGAUGCUUUACUAGUUUACUAGUUACUAGUACAAUGAUAGAUAAAUAGUAUUUCAUCCAGUUUGGCUCUUAUCUCUUCUGGAAAUCAAAACCAUUUGAAAUGUUACACAAAUCAAAUCAAAUGUUACUUGUCACAUACACAUGGUUAGCAGAUGUUAAUGCGAGUGUAGCGAAAUGCUUGUGCUUUUAGUUCCGACAGUGCAGUAGUAUCUAAGAAAUAAUCUAACAAUUCCCCAACAACUACCUAAUACACAGUUCUGCACUUUUGGAAACCAAAACCAUUUGAAACUUUACACAGUUCUGUUGUUCUGGAAACCAAAACCAUUUGAAACUUUACACAGUUCUGUUGUUCUGGAAACCAAAACCAUUUGAAACUUUACACAGUUCUGUUGUUCUGGAAACCAAAACCAUUUGAAACUUUACACAGUUCUGGUGUUCUGGAAACCAAAACCAUUUGAAACUUUACACAGUUCUGUUGUUCUGGAAACCAAAACCAUUUGAAACUUUACACAGUUCUGGUGUUCUGGAAACCAAAACCAUUUGAAACUUUACACAGUUCUGUUGUUCUGGAAAUCAAAACCAUUUGAAACUUUACACAGUUCUGUUGUUCUGGAAAUCAAAACCAUUUGAAACUUUACACAGUUAUGUUGUUCUGGAAACCAAAACCAUUUGAAACUUUACACAGUUCUGUUGUUCUGGAAACCAAAACCAUUUGAAACUUUACACAGUUCUGUUGUUCUGGAAAUCAAAACCAUUUGAAACUUUACACAGUUAUGUUGUUCUGGAAACCAAAACCAUUUGAAACUUUACACAGUUCUGUUGUUCUGGAAACCAAAACCAUUUGAAACUUUACACAUUUCUGUUGUUCUGGAAACCAAAACCAUUUGAAACUUUACACAGUUCUAUUGUUCUGGAAAUCAAAACCAUUUGAAACUUUACACAGUUCUGUUGUUCUGGAAAUCAAAACCAUUUGAAACUUUACACAGUUCUGGUGUUCUGGAAACCAAAACCAUUUGAAACUUUACACAGUUCUGUUGUUCUGGAAACCAAAACCAUUUGAAACUUUACACAGUUCUGGUGUUCUGGAAACCAAAACCAUUUGCAACUUUACACAGUUCUGUUGUUCUGGAAACCAAAACCAUUUGAAACUUUACACAGUUCUGUUGUUCUGGAAACCAAAACCAUUUGAAACUUUACACAGUUCUGUUGUUCUGGAAACCAAAACCAUUUGAAACUUUACACAGUUCUGUUGUUCUGGAAACCAAAACCAUUUGAAACUUUACACAGUUCUGUUGUUCUGGAAACCAAAACCAUUUGAAACUUUACACAGUUCUGUUGUUCUGGAAACCAAAACCAUUUGAAACUUUACACAGUUCUGUUGUUCUGGAAACCAAAACCAUUUGAAACUUUACACAGUUCUGUUGUUCUGGAAACCAAAACCAUUUGAAACUUUACACAGUUCUGUUGUUCUGGAAACCAAAACCAUUUGAAACUUUACACAGUUCUGUUGUUCUGGAAACCAAAACCAUUUGAAACUUUACACAGUUCUGUUGUUCUGGAAACCAAAACCAUUUGAAACUUUACACAGUUCUGUUGUUCCGGAAAUCAAAACCAUUUGAAACUUUACACAGUUCUGUUGUUCUGGAAAUCAAAACCAUUUGAAACUUUACACAGUUCUGGUGUUCUGGAAACCAAAACCAUUUGAAACUUUACACAGUUCUGUUGUUCUGGAAACCAAAACCAUUUGAAACUUUACACAGUUCUGUUGUUCUGGAAACCAAAACCAUUUGAAACUUUACACAGUUCUGUUGUUCUGGAAACCAAAACCAUUUGAAACUUUACACAGUUCUGUUGUUCUGGAAAUCAAAACCAUUUGAAACUUUACACAGUUCUGUUGUUCUGGAAAUCAAAACCAUUUGAAACUUUACACAGUUCUGUUGUUCUGGAAACCAAAACCAUUUGAAACUUUACACAGUUCUGUUGUUCUGGAAACCAAAACCAUUUGAAACUUUACACAGUUCUGUUGUUCUGGAAACCAAAAGGCAAACAUUACAUUUAGAGCACCUGCUGUAGCAAAAGGGUUACAGUUUAUAUGCAAAAUUGUAAUGGCUGUAUCCCAACGGCACCCUAUAGAGCAUUACUGGGCCCUAGUCAAAAGUAGGGCACUAUAUAGGGAAUAGGGUGCCGUUUGGGAUGGAGUCAUUGACACAUUGGAAUGAGGGAUAAGAUUUACAGUAGCCUAGGUGUGCCUGUGAGUUAAUAAGGGGGCCUCACAAUGUAGGGAACGUUCGUCAUUUUUCCCUCUGAUGUUUGUCUGCUGGGUGACCUCAUGUUUUACUUUGGAUGUCUGCUCAUCAGUAACUCAUGUUAAUUAUAGCAAGACAAGAAAGAGCACGUGCCCCUGGGUCUGUGCUGUUCAGAGCAGUUCAUGCUGAGAGGUAGAAAGAGAGCGGAAGAGUGGGUAAGGGAGACUGAGGGUGUGUUUGUGUAUGUGUGUGAGAGAGAGAGAUAUAGUGUGUGUGCAUGAAAGAGAGUGUAUGAGAGAGAAAGAGAGAGCUUGUGUGUAUGAAGGACAUCAGAGAGAGGAGUCCUUGUUAAACAUAGAAAAUAAUCUAAUCUGACAGUUUAAAUCUAGGAAGGCCAUAUCUGUUUGGAUAGCCUGGUGAAAGAUACCAACUCCAUUCUCUCCCAUGUCCUCCAGUCAACUGGACAAUUCUACAGUACCUUAUAAUAAAUAAGGGAAGAUGUCUCUUUGUAGCUGUUGUUCAUCUGAAUGUUACACGGUACUAGGGUUGCAAACUUCCCAUGUUUUCCAUAAAUCCUGGUUGGAAGAUACCCUGAAUCAGGGGGUUAUAAGCAGGAGAUCUGGAACCCUCCAACCAUGAUUUGUGGAAAACCUUGGCAUUUAGGAAAGUUCCCAGAAUUCUUAAACCCUACAUGGUACUCUGUUCAUGAGACGAGCAGUCCUAUGUGAUAGGGGGCAAAAAUUGGUUUUGGCGGGGAAUACUAAACAUUGUUUUCAUGAAAAUUGUAAAUGAAAUAGUGAAAUUUUUAUUUAUACAGUAAAUUAUUGUUAUUUUGUAUGUGAAUGGAAUCUAGUAUUUUCUAUAAGUGAAGUACCUUUGUAGUCUUAUUUAAUGUGUUUGCUAAAUAAAUACUGCAUGCAUGUUUCUUA